UAAUACAAAAAGCGAAGUAAGGGUGCCUAAUUGAUCGCUAGGCGAUAAUAAACGGUAAACACGCAUAAGCAUUGAAACAAUCAUGCGAUCUGAAAAUAAUAAGGGUACACUAGUACGGAAAUCUUUUUAUAGAAUGUGUGAGGCGAUGUGAAUCGAGUCACACACUGGCAAAAAUCCAACUCGCUGCCAGCCAAUUAGAAGUCGCUUAGAAUAGAAUCGACCAAUAGGAUUUGAGGUAACGCAGCGCUGAGUUUAGGUCGUGUGGAGGGCACGAGCGGGAAUUGAGUUCCACAACAUUAGUAAAGAAUAAAAACUCAAACAACAACAGAGUGGAGCAGAGCUAAGACAAACCAGUCGCGUGUGCCACGAUCGAACUUAGAAUGUACUUAAGAAGUUCACAAAUUUUAUUCGCAGUGUUUGUGGCCCCUCAGGAUAGCAUAAUGGAGAGAAGAAAAGUUAUUAUUGACGUUGCAUCGCAACUCAAACGGAUUGGCGAUGAGAUUGACAGCGAAAAAGCUAAAGAUUUCGCCGAGUUCCAGCAGUUACGGAAUAUCGUUCAAACGGCCAUCCUCGCCGUUGGUGCUUUGACCGUGUCAGGAAUUCUGUGGCGAUGGGUGAAUCGGUGAUUCUUUACGAGUGCUGUCAAGGCUUAGGAAGUGGAUGGGUUUCUCGGAUGAGAAAAAGUAUUUAUUGCUACGCCAUUGAUGAAGAAGAGGUUUCCUGUCAAAGAAAUCUUAUCGUUCGUCGCCAUACGACCUUGGAAGGUCACUUUCUGCUUGCGCUCUUGCCAGGAGAACGAUUGUUAAAAUCAUCACGUAACAACAGAGACUGUGACUCCAGGAGUCCAUUAAUAUUAUUUUUCAAUUUCAAGAAAAGAUUGGCUCAUAUUGAGUGAUUAUUUCCCUAUGGGAAGACCUCUCUUCAAGAAGAGACCCAGCUGACAUUACAGUUACUAUUUUGAACUGCUACAUUUUGGGUAGCAAAUAAGCUUGUCAAGGGAGAUACAAAGGUUAAAGCCGGUUAUACGGCGGAAUACUCGGAUAUGAGCCAAAAAUACAAGAUUGCUGACUUCGCACCGAGAUUGCCCUCGGGGGGCAAACGGCGGUCAGCUACUCGCAAUGAUCAGAGGACGGAUUAGGAACGCUGAAUUUGAUUUACUUGAAAGUCAACACUGUAAGUGUGGCGUAUUGUUGAGCGCAGCUCACUGAAACUUCCGGCAAGGUUAAAUCCACUGUUAACCCGCCGCAAAUGUUCCGUUUUGCAGCGUGGGCAGUUUCUCGCUUUGUUUACCUCCUUUGCGUUUAUGCGUGACGGUCUAUUGUAAAGUUCAUCAGGGGAUAAAUCUUCGCGAUGAGGCUUGGAGUGAAAUGGUGUGAUCUCAUACUGACGAGCAAACAAUAGGCAGUUCACCUUCACAGUAGCCCGGGUCACGUUCAAGCCUGUUCCUAUAGAAUAGAACCAUUUAUUUUACACAUCGUAACAACUUUAUUUUCAUUCUGUGCUCGUGCCUUUAAUCCCUUUAAUUUAUACCAGCAAUCUAAAUCAGAACUCGAUAAAGGCUUUGUAUUUUUGUAUUGAUCGACUAUUUAAUAAUGAGCCCCUGCUUUUUGCGAGGUAUUGUUUUCUUUGUCAAGCUUUAUUUUAUGCGCUUCGGCGUUCGUAGAUAGAGAGCAGUAUCUAAUGUGUCUGUAAAUAAUACCUCCUUCAGAAUCCGCGGAUAUUGUAAAUAUUUUGUAAUUACUUGUACAGCUGUAAAUAAUGUAAAAAGUAAAUCAUGAUAGUUCGUUUUAGAGCUUCACUCUACCGCUUCAAAUGCCACAAAAUUCACAAAGGAGAAAUAGAUAUUAAAUAAGAUAGAAAACAUGCAAAAA